UCUUCAAGACACCAUUCUUUCUUUCUCUAUUAACCAGAUCUCUCUUCUUCAGCACACCUUCCACAUUUUUUUUUGAAAAACAAUUUCCGCAAUAAAGAAUCAGAGUUGAAGAUGUCAUAUAGAACGAUCAAAAUCACAAGAUACAGAUCGAAGAACUGAUUGUCCAGAUGCACGAUGUCUUUCUCUCUCUCUUCACAAGAUCCAAAUUCAACAUCUUGAAGAAAAUCGCACAUGAAUAUGAGUCAGAUAUGGAUCUUGUUACUUUUUUUAAAUUCUUUUAUGUUUUUUUAUCUAAAAUUACACAUUUUUUUGUAAGUGUUUUUAGUUGAAUCAUGUUUUUAAGGUAUAAAAUGUGUUAUUUAUGACUUCCCCCCUCCCUCUCUCUCUUUAUAUCUUUAUCUUCUAAUUCAUUUCCAGUUCUUGAAGAUCUUCAUCCGGAUCUAAAAGUGACCUGAAUCCAAAAGAUGAUCCAUUUCAAAAGAUCAUCAUCCAGAUGCUCCAGAUCUAGAAGAUCAUCAUCCAGAUGUUCGAUGUUUGAACAUGAUAUUCCAAAUCUUGAAGAUCCUCCUCCAGAUCAGGUUGAAGAUAAUCGAUGUUGAAGAUGAUGUGAUGGCGGUUCGAUAUUGAAGAUGACCCAAAAUAUGUUCGAUGUUUAAACAUGAUGUUCCAGAUCUAGAAGAUCCUCCAGGUCCAUAAUUUAGUGGAUGUCCGUUUAUAAGGUGGGUCGACCAACCCAUGUGCCCCCGAUUUGCUAUGAUUAUUCAGGGACUAUUGAGAACUAUUAACAUGCUACAAGUUAAGGUUAUAGCUCGUGAAGAUGAUAUUAGAAAGAAGACAACCAUUACUUGAUUUAUGAUUUUCGUUGUUGUAACUUCCACAAUGUUUGUUUGUACUCCUGGAUUAAUUUCAAAGUUUUUAUAUUUAAUGUGUAACUUUCCUUUGGCCCA